AUUCUUGCUUCGGCAGAAUAUAUACUAACAUUUUAACUAUACAGAGAUGAUAAGCAUGGCCCCUGCGCAACGGUGACACGCAAAAUCGUGAAGCCUUCCACAUUUGU